rnacentral:rRNA from 1 species
GAUGAACGCUAGCGGCAGGCUUAACACAUGCAAGUCGAGGGGCAGCGUGAUGAAGUAGCAAUACGGAUUUGACGGCGACCGGCGCACGGGUGCGUAACGCGUAUGUAACCUACCUUUAACAGGGGGAUAACACUGAGAAAUUGGUACUAAUACCCCAUAACACCGAGAGAGGCAUCUUUUUUGGUUGAAAGUUCCGGCGGUUAGAGAUGGACAUGCGUUGUAUCAGCUAGAUGGUGAGGUGACGGCUCACCAUGGCGACGAUACAUAGGGGGACUGAGAGGUUAACCCCCCACACUGGUACUGAGACACGGACCAGACUCCUACGGGAGGCAGCAGUGAGGAAUAUUGGUCAAUGGACGGAAGUCUGAACCAGCCAAGUCGCGUGAAGGAUGAAGGUUCUAUGGAUUGCAAACUUCUUUUGUCUGAGGGUAAAAAAGGCCACGUGUGGCUUCUUGCAAGUAUCAGACGAAUAAGCAUCGGCUAACUCCGUGCCAGCAGCCGCCGUAAAAC